rnacentral:rRNA from 1 species
AGAUAUGGUAGGAGAGCGUUCUGUAAGCCUGCGAAGGUGUCUUGUAAAGGAUGCUGGAGGUAUCAGAAGUGCGAAUGCUGACAUGAGUAGCGAUAAUGGGGGUGAAAAGCCUCCACGCCGUAAGCCCAAGGUUUCCUGUUCAACGUUCAUCGGAGCAGGGUGAGUCGGCCCCUAAGGCGAGGCAGAGAUGCGUAGCUGAUGGGAAGCAGGUUAAUAUUCCUGCACCGUCGUAUGAUGCGAUGGGGGGACGGAUCGCGGAAGGUUGUCUGACUGUUGGAAUAGUCAGUUUCUGUCUCAUAGAAGGCGCUUAGGCAAAUCCGGGCGCGGAAUUCAAGGGGAUGGGACGAGUGAACUUGUUCACGAAGCAAUCGGAAGUGGUUCCAAGAAAAGCCUCUAAGCUUCAGUCAUACGAGACCGUACCGCAAACCGACACAGGUGGGCGAGAUGAGUAUUCUAAGGCGCUUGAGAGAACUCGGGAGAAGGAACUCGGCAAAUUGGUACCGUAACUUCGGGAAAAGGUACGCCCCGGUAGCUUGAUUGGUUUACUCCAUGAGGGUGAAAGGGUUGCAAUAAACUGGUGGCUGCGACUGUUUAAUAAAAACACAGCACUCUGCAAACACGAAAGUGGACGUAUAGGGUGUGACGCCUGCCCGGUGCUGGAAGAUUAAAUGAUGGGGUGCAAGCUCUUGAUUGAAGUCCCAGUAAACGGCGGCCGUAACUAUAACGGUCCUAAGGUAGCGAAAUUCCUUGUCGGGUAAGUUCCGACCUGCACGAAUGGCGUAACGAUGGCCACACUGUCUCCUCCCGAGACUCAGCGAAGUUGAAAUGUUUGUGAUGAUGCAAUCUACCCGCGGCUAGACGGAAAGACCCCAUGAACCUUUACUGUAGCUUUGCAUUGGACUUUGAACCAAUCUGUGUAGGAUAGGUGGGAGGCUUUGAAGCGGGGACGCUAGUUCUCGUGGAGCCAACCUUGAAAUACCACCCUGGUUUGUUUGAGGUUCUAACCUUGGUCCGUUAUCCGGAUCGGGGACAGUGCAUGGUAGGCAGUUUGACUGGGGCGGUCUCCUCCUAAAGUGUAACGGAGGAGUUCGAAGGUACGCUAGAUACGGUCGGACAUCGUGUUGAUAGUGCAAUGGCAUAAGCGUGCUUAACUGCGAGACUGACAAGUCGAGCAGGUACGAAAGUAGGACAUAGUGAUCCGGUGGUUCUGUAUGGAAGGGCCAUCGCUCAACGGAUAAAAGGUACUCUGGGGAUAACAGGCUGAUUCCUCCCAAGAGUUCAUAUCGACGGGGGAGUUUGGCACCUCGAUGUCGGCUCAUCACAUCCUGGGGCUGUAGCCGGUCCCAAGGGUAUGGCUGUUCGCCAUUUAAAGUGGUACGUGAGCUGGGUUUAAAACGUCGUGAGACAGUUUGGUCCCUAUCUGCCGUGGGCGUUGGAAAUUUGAAGGGGGCUGCUCCUAGUACGAGAGGACCGGAGUGGACGAACCUCUGGUGUACCGGUUGUCACGCCAGUGGCAUUGCCGGGUAGCUAAGUUCGGAAGAGAUAACCGCUGAAAGCAUCUAAGCGGGAAACUUGCCUUGAGAUGAGAUUUCCCAGAGCCUUGAGCUCUUUGAAGGGUCGUUCGAGACCAGGACGUUGAUAGGCUGGGUGUGGAAGUGCAGUAAUGCAUUAAGCUAACCAGUACUAAUUGCCCGUACGGCUUGUCCC